UAGAGUACUCGGCUACGAACCGAGCGGUCGGAGGUUCGAAUCCUCCUGGAUGCACCA
rnacentral:tRNA from 1 species